rnacentral:misc_RNA from 1 species
GAUGAAGAACGUAGCGAAAUGCGAUAAGUAAUGUGAAUUGCAGAAUUCAGUGAAUCAUCGAAUCUUUGAACGCACAUUGCGCCCGCCAGUAUUCUGGCGGGCAUGCCUGUUCGAGCGUCAUUACAACCCUCAGGCCCCCGGGCCUGGCGUUGGGGAUCGGCGUAGCCCCCCGUGGGCACACGCCGUCCCCCAAAUACAGUGGCGGUCCCGCCGCAGCUUCCAUCGCGUAGUAGCUAACACCUCGCGACUGGAGAGCGGCGCGGCCACGCCGUAAAACACCCAACUCUUCUGAAGUUGACCUCGAAUCAGGUAGGAAUACCCGCUGAACUUAAGCAUAUCAAUAAGCGGAGGA